UACGUAGGGGGCGAGCGUUGUCCGGAGUUACUGGGCGUAAAGGGCAUGCAGGCGGUCGGACGCGUUUCGGGUGACAGCGGGUGGCUUACUACCCGAGUGGUCGAAAGACGGUUUGACUUGAGGACGCGAGAGGGACACGGAAUUCCGGGUGGAGUGGUGAAAUGCGUAGAGAGUCCGGAGGAACACCGAAGGCGAAGGCAGUGUCCUGGCGCGUAACUGACGCUGAGGUGCGAAAGCCAGGGGAGCGAACGGG
rnacentral:rRNA from 1 species